AUGAGUCUUGGAGGUGGAGGCCUGGAGCGUGAGAGAGCUCAGCUGAAACGAUUUAAACUUUCACGUCCAUUGAACCGGACGGACACUUGCUCUCAACAGAACUGGGUGCCCAGCAGUGGUGCAGAUGGAGAAAAGGAUCCCACAGACCAGUAAGAAUUCCUCUUUCACCUGAAAACAGCAAGUGGUUUGUAAGCUUCAAAGGCAGAGUUCUGCUUCCUGAAUAGACCAUGAGAAUGAAGACAAUGGACCUGUCACUGCUACCAUUGACAUCAAAAGGCAAUUUACCAUUAAUCAAAGGUGAGCAGAAUACCACACUAUUUCCCAAUGAAAGGGAGCAGUAUAAGCUCUGAGACUUGCCAUGUGGAUUCUCUGCCUCCUUGUAAGCUACUGUAUGUUUCUUUUAACUAGACCUGCUUGAGCCUUUUGAAAACCACAGCAAUUUUCACAAAGUAAUGUGUCCUGUCCCACUCAGAAAAUUAGCAUUCAUCUGGUAGUUUCAGUGGCUUACACCAUUUAUAUGCUCUCUCCGCCCCCAUUUCCAAAAUACUUUUGUGGCAUGCUGAUGGAAAUUAGCUGCAUUGCUUCACCCUUUUAAUGGCUACAUUUCAAUGCUGGAUCAAAUGACCCAUGUACUCUGACAUGUCUUUUUACUACUUGGCCAGUGCCUCUAAUCCCUGCAUCUGCCCAUUCACCUCUCACCUAAGUUUAACAGCACUUUAAAUCCUGGCUACAUGACAGAUUUGAUAGUCUAGGUUAGAUUUUGGAUACUUUCUUCACACAAUUUGCCUAGAAAGGCAAACAAGUUCUCCUGCAACUCAAUCUGCAACGUGGCUUAUCUUACUGCAGCAUAAAGAAUGGGCAUAGGGUAUACCCCUAGAAGUCCAAGAGACACGCAAAGGAGGGCAGCAAUAGUGAGGACACUGGCUUUGCAAUUCAUAACUGAUUUAGGCUAUCUUGCAUUCUCAGUCAUAGAGUGCUGAUCACUCAGACUACCUAUGCAGUGAAUACACAGGCAUGGACUGUCUGAUUCUUCCCUAUCCUGUGCAAGGUAGCUGCUGAGAAACUAUUUUCCCCUCUGGUGAGACUUUUCAAGAUUUCAAAAUAUUUUUCUGUCCUGAGUUGAGAUGAAAAGUUGAAGUUGUUAAAAUGUUCAUGAACCAACAAUAGAAAAAAACCCC
rnacentral:lncRNA from 1 species